rnacentral:rRNA from 1 species
UGGGGAAUAUUGCACAAUGGGCGCAAGCCUGAUGCAGCCAUGCCGCGUGUAUGAAGAAGGCCUUCGGGUUGUAAAGUACUUUCAGCGGGGAGGAAGGGAGUAAAGUUAAUACCUUUGCUCAUUGACGUUACCCGCAGAAGAAGCACCGGCUAACUCCGUGCCAGCAGCCGCGGUAAUACGGAGGGUGCAAGCGUUAAUCGGAAUUACUGGGCGUAAAGCGCACGCAGGCGGUUUGUUAAGUCAGAUGUGAAAUCCCCGGGCUCAACCUGGGAACUGCAUCUGAUACUGGCAAGCUUGAGUCUCGUAGAGGGGGGUAGAAUUCCAAGUGUAGCGGUGAAAUGCGUAGAGAUCUGGAGGAAUACCGGUGGCGAAGGCGGCCCCCUGGACGAAGACUGACGCUCAGGUGCGAAAGCGUGGGGAGCAAACAGG